GCUGGGUCAUCCCACUGCAGUUCCACAUAGAAAAGCUCGCCAGGUGCCCUGCUGAGACAGGGGCAGUCCUGUCCGUGGACCCAGUUGUUCCUUUAAAUCUGCAGCUACCCAUUGCCCAUAGCUCAAAAAAUGAACAUCUUUUGAACUAAAUUAGUCAAUCAGUUGUUUUUAACCAAUGAGUCUUGACCUUGCUCCUCUGUGCUUUCCGGAGUAAAGGCCAUGGAUGAGUAAAGAACACAGAAGGAAAAGAGAAAAACUGCAUUGUUUCCCCUACCUAAAAUUACAGCCCCAGCCUACCUCAUGCCUUAAUGAAUCUCUAGCUACCAUAAGGCUUUUAUUUGUGGAAAUCUUACACAUUUGACUGAAAGUCGAAGCUUAUUACAGAACAGCAAAUCUGUUAUUUCUACAAAGCCCCUGUUAGCUGUCUCUGCACCUGUUCUCUCUUCUGCCAAGCUACCUAUGCUCCCUUCCAAAGAGGGUGGGGGUGUGACCAGGACCCAGAUUCCAAACCAGGAUGCAAGUGGUACUUAAAGAGACAGACCCAAGGCAGGUGUGGUGGAGCACGCCUGCAGUCCCAGCAUCUUGAGAGGCCGAGGCAGGAGGAUCACGGGAGCUCAGGAUCAGCCUGGGCAACAGAGCAAGACCCCAUCUUAAAAAGAGAGAGAUAGGCCCAAGUUUUUUUUUUUGUUGUUAUCAAUGUCCUUAAUGGACAUUAUAUAUUCUUUCUAGUCAACAUAGUUCUCUCAGAAAUGUAUUCCUAAUAUCAUAGAAGUUGCCUCCUACAGAAAGACUUGUAGAAUCCCAACUAUUAGACCAAUAAUAUGGAGCUGAGUAUUAGCAGAUCUAGAAUCAGACCUUAGAACUUAUUAUUACCAGAACAGAGUUCUUUCCACUAUUCUAAGCCUCCUUUCAGACUACAAUUUGUUUUCUUUAAAUAUAAGACUUUUUAAAUUUCUCUAUGUAAAUGUUUUGCUAAGCAAUACAUUUUCAACAAACUAUCUGCCUGCAGAAACCCCCAAAGUAUUUGCUUCCACUAAUAUGCAAGAUCUACACAUUAUGUAAAUUGUGUGUCAGUAGCAAUAUAGAAUCCCAAUAACAUAAUACCAUGCACAUCCAAAUUUAAACUAAUAAGAAGAUAAACAAAGUCAGCUUCUUGGUACUUGACGGUGGUAGAUAUUUUUUAACUCACUAAAGUGACUCAAUCAUGGUAGAAUCAAAACCAGCAAGAGGAAAUGACAGGGAAUUUGAUUGGGGCAAGGUGUGUUUAAGGAGACUGCCCAGAGAUAGCAAGCUUCCCAUCACAAGAGGUUAAGCAAAGGUUGGACAGACAACCAUUUGGCGAGGAUGUCAUACACCAGUGGUUCUCCAGCUUUCAAAAGUAUCAGAAUCACCCUGUGGACUUGUUAAAGCUGAGACGGCUGGCCCCAGAGCUUCUGAUUCGGAAGUCUGAAGUGGGGCUUACGAUUCCACAUUUCAUCCCAGCGCCCAGGCAGUGCUGAUGCUGGUGGUCCAGGACACACUCUGAGAACCACUGUGUCUAGUAGAGGGAAUUCAGAAUCAUGAAUCAAGCUGCUUCACUCCAGCCAAGGGAUGCAGGGCAGAGUCACAUUUCUUUUUACUGUCCUAUCAAACAGCUUGAGUCCAGUUUUUUCCCCAUGAGGCUGGACCUCUUUCCUGCCUGGGGGCUACUGCUGGUCAUAGUCCUAAAUCCUUCCCAUGUGUCUCUGUGCUAAUCUUGAACCUGGGACAAAGAAAGCCACCAUGAGGCUGAAGGACACCACCACUACCCCGGUCACUGGCUUUAAGAUAGGCUGUCAGAGACAGCUCACACCUGGGACUCUACACCCUCUGGCAUCGCUGCCAUGGGCGGUGGGAUGUGCUGUCGAUGGAGGUCAUGACAAAGCCCCAGUCCUCUUCCACCCCAAGUGCCUCAAGGAGGGAAAGCCAAAGAAUCUGCCAUUGCUGCCCGAGGAGCCACAACUGAAUUAAAGGACAGAUGGCGGGGCCCUGUGCCAUUCUUGCCCACAUCUGUGAAAGCACAUGGCCAACAAUUAUUGACCCAUCACUCUAUACCAACUAUCGUUCUGACCACGUUACAUGGAGAUCUCGUUUCGUCCUUGUAACAACCCUAUACAAUACUAAUUGUAGAAUGAGGAUUUGUACCCCAGUUCUUCAGCUCUGCAUCCCCACAUUCUUUAUUAGACAAAACAGCAGGAUGUAUUGGAAAAAGAAAGAGGUUGCCUCACCCACCAUUAAGCUAGGCCAGAACGCAGCCCUGGAUCUUACCAUGUGCCACCACCCCUCCUAGGCCUGGCCUCUUUAGUUUGAUCUGUGUUUUUCCCAUACACUUGAUUAUUGCUCCCAAGCACUCUAGGAGUUCUACGUGGCUAGGGCAGAAGGUUUCCACCCUUAAUUUUGCCCGUGCCAGCCUGGUGUUGAACCCAACUGUUAUUCCAGGGGAUGGGAAUAGGAAAACCUCAAUUUUGACCGCUCCUUGGGGAACCAUGAUGUUCCUUUCUGCUGGUUGAAUUUGUUGUGUUGUGCGUGUUUGUUUUGAGAUGAAGGUCUUUCAGUGUUGCCCAGGCUGGUCUUGAAGUCUUGGGCUCAAGUGAUCCACCCACCUCAGCAUGCCAAGUAGCUGGGGCUGUGGUUGCUUGCUUCCGUGCCAGACCUCGCUCUUGACUGGGACCAUCUCAGGCAUUAGAAGUAUCAAAUAAUGUUAAACCCCAAAAGAUAUGUAGGUUGGCUAUUACUAGAUCCUUUUAUUCAUUGGGGGUCCUUGGCCCUCAAUGAAUAAAUACUAUUCCACCCUUUUCCCACAUCAUCCACAUAAUAAGUGAGACCAAACUUAGCCAUGAACUUGCCCUGUUGGCUUCAUUCCCCUAGAGUAACAGACCACCACUUGCUUUAACUUUGCCUAACCAAAGAGCCAACUCAAUUCUUGCAAAGUCCUUUGCUGUAUCCAUUCUAGACUCUGGCUUCAGCAGAUGACCCCUUUAAUGGGCAGUUUCUCUCUCUAAAUAACAUAAUUAAAUCUUUACCUCAUCUGGGCCCUUCUACCUAAGACUUGACAUUAAUACUACUAUUAUUCAGCAUCUACCCAACACCAAAUACAGGUAGGGCACACUGCUAGGCGCCAGAAAUAGAAAUAAGAUACAACCUCCGAACGUUCUCUCUGACAUGCAGAUGCUAACUCACAGUAAUGGGGAGCAGAAUAGAAAUUCACUGGAUUAGACAAAGGAGAAUGAAGGGAAGUAGGAGGGGAUGGGAAUAGGAAAAGCAAUAGAAUGAAUCAGACAUAACUUUCCUAUGUUCUUAUAUAAAUACAUCCAGUGUAACGCCACAUCAUGUACAACCACAAAAAUGGGGAGUUGUAAUCCAUUUAUGAGAUGUCAAAAUACAUUUUCCUGUCAUGUAUAACUAAAAAGAACAAAUAAAAACUUCAAAAUAAAAAAUAAGAAAUAAGAGGCUGGGGUUGUGGCUCCGUGGUAGAGCACUUGCCUAGCACGUAUGAGGCACUGGGUUUGAUUCUCAGCACCACAUAUAAAUAAAUGAAUAAAAUAAAGGUUCAUCAACAUAUAAUUUUUUUUUUAAAUAAAGAAAGAAAGAAGGUGUAACCUCUCCUAAAUAAAUAGGAUGAAACCUACAUAGGCUGCAACAUCAUCCUAGGUCUCCUGCCCCACAGAUGAUAGGAAGGACACGGGGAGGGAAAAGGAGGAGUCCCUGAGCAGGUAAGAGAGAGAGACAAAAGGAAUAGUUUGAAGACUGCUAGUAAAACCAGAGUAGCCUGAAAUUAAGUCUAUUCAGGGACAGGCUUAACAGGGAAAGCUUAUCACUGAAGCUAUCAAAAUAGACCCACUUACUAAAUAGGGAGGCAAACUUCACUCUUGCCAACUCUACAUAGAAACAUCCUAGAAGAACAUAUUUUUCCCAGUAAGUUCCUCUGAAACACAUGAUGGCAUUCCUGUUUGAAGAGCAAAAUAAUCAAGGUACGGAUGGUCAGCAGUUUGCCCAAUAUUAGAGCAAAGCAGUGCAAACGCUUGAAACGGGUCUUAGGGGUAUGCUGGGAACUGCCUUAGAGUCCACAAAUGGCUUGUCCUUAGGUCACCAUUGUCGCCAUCUUUCACUGCAUAAUAAGUUACCCCCAAACUUGGGCAUUUAAAAUAAUAACCAUGUAUUUACUCAUGACUCUGCACCUAGUCAUGAGUAAAUACAUGGUUGGGGGCUGGGCCCACCUAGUGAGAACUGCUGUUCUCACCUGGAGUCACUCAUCAGCCUGCAGUCAGCUGGUAGAUUGACAGGAAUCCGUGGGCAUUGAAAACUCCGAGGCAUUGUAAGGGCAGAAAAAAACAUGGUGGGCCUGAAGAUAAAUUCUGUCAGCUUCACAAUUUUGUUCAAGUGUAGCCUCAAGGCCUCCCUAACAGUUUUCUCAUCAUUAUCAUUGAAUUGCAGGCCCCAGAUCCUCCAAGAACCCCAAUUCCAUGACACUCGCUGUGGGGGUUUCCUGGUUCAAGAGCACACCACUGUAUGUCACUGUUGCCUGCGGAAGUUUGCCAAGUUUGUAGGCUAAUACAGAGAUACCCAGGAGAAGUGGCUCGAUAAGAUUUGGCCCAGAGUGUUGUCUAGGGGCAGAGCUGAAUUCAAAGCAGUGUCUAGAACACAUCUUACUAAGGGAGGACCUUGGAAAGGAGGAAAGGGGAAAAAGGACUCCGGAGAUGAUAACAGUGGGUCCUACGAUCAAGGACACUGUCUGUGUUCAGCCAUGGAUAGCUCCAUGCCAAGAGAGAUAAGUGGGAGAGAGUCCAGCCAAGAGCAGAAUAAAUGACUAAGUGAUGGGGAAGCUGAUUUAUGAGGCCAAUUUAAAAGAACUCACCAAAGCUCAUUCAUUUAACAAAAUGUAACUGAAAGCUAAUUUCCUAUCAGUGCCUGAAAAGCAAUGGAAAUGUACACAUAAUAGAUGAAGGAAAUAUCAAAUACAAAAGUCAGCUUGUCUAGCAAACACAGUAAGUAAAAUGAGCAUGAUGUCUGCAUUAAGCAGACCAGUUUUCAUCUAAACUUCUCUCUCUCUCUGUUGUGACAAACCUCUUGUUGACAGUUUCUCAUUCUCUUCCACAUUUCUCUUUGUUCCCUCCAUUUUCCUUUUUAAGUCUGGUGAAUGUUAUAAUUAUAGGUAAAACCCCAGUUGUCAAGAGUUCUUAUUCUUUCACUUUUUUGGUACUGGGGAUUGAACCCAGGGGUGCCAUAACGCUGAGCUACAUCCCCUGAUCUUUUUAUUUUUUUUUUAAAUUUUGGGACAGAGUCUCACUAAGUUGCUGAGGCUGUCCCUGAAUUUGCCAUGCUCCUGCCUCCACCUCCGGAAUAGCUGGGGUUACAGGACUUGAAGAGGGAAAGAAUGCAUCCAAAGACACACCGCUCCUGGCUCCCAUCUGCUUUUAGAAUUAGACGCUCCCUCAAUCCAGGAGCUCAGGGAAGAUAACAAAUGAUCCUAAUUUCAACAUCUUAAUAUAAUCACCAUAGCCCUUUGGAGCACUUCCUUCUAAUCAUUUUUCUUAUACAUUAGAACCACUCCGAUCAGACCAGAUCAUCUCAGUGCAUAUACUGGAGAUGCCAAUUUUUGGAUGGUUAAUUUUAAAUGUCAACUCGGCUGGGCCAUGAUGCUUGGAUAUUUGGACAUUAUUCUAGAUGUUUCUGUAAGGACAUUUUUGGAUAAAAUUUACAAUGAUGGACUUUGAGUAAAGCAGUUUAUCCUCUAUGAUGCUAUGGGCCUCACCUGAGCUGUUGAAGUCCUGACUAGAACAAAGGUUGACCUCCCCCAAGCAAGAGGGAAUCCUCCAACAGAAUGCCUUUGAACUUCAUCUGCAACAUGGGCUCUUCUGGGUUCUAUAGUAGACUGCCUUUGGACUUCAACUGCAACUCUUUGCUAUGUCUCUAGUCUGUUGGCCUCCUCGGUUGGACUUUGGAUUCACCAAGCCUCCAUAAGAAUUAUUUGGAGGAAGGACCUUUGGGUGGUCGGAAGAAGUGCCGGCUUUGGCUCCACCUUCAUGAAUAGGAUUAGUAUUCUCAGAAGAAGAGACACAAGAGAGAUCUCUCAUUCUGCCACGUGAGGAUACAGCAAGAAGGUGUCUGUCUUCAAAUCAGCAGAGAACCCUCACCAGCACCUCACCAUGUUAGCAUUCUGAUCUUGGACUUCUCAGCCUCUAGAACUGUGAGAAAUAAGUUUCUGCUGUUUAAUAAUCUACCCAUCUACAGUAUUUUUUAAUAGCAUCCUGAACUGACCUAGACAUAUACUGACAUGCUGGGAGAAUCAUGUGUCCUGAGGUCACGGAAGCUCUGCAUUUCAUUGGGACCCUUCCCAGACAUGGCCCUCUGUGUCUCUUCAAAGAUUCAGCUGAUCCUGAUGUGUAGUCUUUAUAAAAGCUGUAAUUGUUA